UGGAUCAAUGAUGAACACUGGUGGCGUAUGAGUCAUGGACGAUGACUACUGGUCUGGAAGUCUGAGGUCCAA